rnacentral:rRNA from 1 species
AGCUCCAAUAGCGUAUAUUAAAGUUGUUGAGGUUAAAAAGCUCGUAGUUGAACCUUGGGCCCAGCCGGCCGGUCCGCCUCACCGCGUGCACUGGCUCGGCCGGGCCUUUCCUUCUGGAGAACCCGGUGCCCUUUAUUGGGUGUCGUGGGGAACCAGGACUUUUACUCUGAAAAAAUUAGAUCGCUUAAAGAAGGCUCUUGCUCGAAUACAUUAGCAUGGAAUAAUAGAAUAGGACGUGUGGUUCUAUUU